CACGUAGGGCGCAAGCGUUGUCCGGAAUUAUUGGGCGUAAAGGGUGCGUAGGUGGUUUAAUAAGUUACUGGUGGCAAAUCGGGGCCCAACCCCGUGGAAGUCAGUGAUACUAUCGAACUAGAGGGUCGGAGAGGUUAACGGAACUCCAUGUGUAGCGGUAAAAUGCUCAAAUAUAUGGAUGAACACCAAUCGGCGAAGGCAGUUAACUAUUCGAUUCCUGACGUUGAGGCACGAAAGCGUGGGGAGCAAGACGG
rnacentral:rRNA from 1 species